rnacentral:tRNA from 1 species
GGUGAGAUGGCCGAGCGGUCUAAGGCGCCAGACUAAGGAUCAGCACAUUUGAUGUGCACAGUUUAUCUGGUCCGAAAGGGCGUGGGUUCGAAUCCCACUCUCAUCA